rnacentral:rRNA from 1 species
GAUGAACGCUGGCGGCGUGCCUAAUACAUGCAAGUCGAGCGAACAGACGAGGAGCUUGCUCCUCUGACGUUAGCGGCGGACGGGUGAGUAACACGUGGAUAACCUACCUAUAAGACUGGGAUAACUUCGGGAAACCGGAGCUAAUACCGGAUAAUAUAUUGAACCGCAUGGUUCAAUAGUGAAAGACGGUUUUGCUGUCACUUAUAGAUGGAUCCGCGCCGCAUUAGCUAGUUGGUAAGGUAACGGCUUACCAAGGCGACGAUGCGUAGCCGACCUGAGAGGGUGAUCAGCCACACUGGAACUGAGACACGGUCCAGACUCCUACGGGAGGCAGCAGUAGGGAAUCUUCCGCAAUGGGCGAAAGCCUGACGGAGCAACGCCGCGUGAGUGAUGAAGGUCUUCGGAUCGUAAAACUCUGUUAUUAGGGAAGAACAAAUGUGUAAGUAACUAUGCCCGUCUUGACGGUACCUAAUCAGAAAGCCACGGCUAACUACGUG